CCUACGGGAGGCAGCAGUGGGGAAUUUUCCGCAAUGGGCGAAAGCCUGACGGAGCAAUACCGCGUGAGGGAAGAAAGCCUACUGGGUUGUAAACCUCUUUUUCAGGGAGGAAAAAAUGACGUGUACCUGAAGAAUAAGCAUCGGCUAACUCCGUGCCAGCAGCCGCGGUAAGACGGAGGAUGCAAGUGUUAUCCGGAAUUACUGGGCGUAAAGCGUCUGUAGGUGGUUUAAUAAGUCAACUGUUAAAUCUUGAGGCUUAACUUCAAAACAGCAGUCGAAACUAUUAGACUAGAGUAUAGUAGGGGUAAAGGGAAUUUCCAGUGGAGCGGUGAAAUGCGUAGGUAUUGGAAAGAACACCGAUGGCGAAAGCACUUUACUGGGCUAUUACUAACACUCAGAGACGAAAGCUAGGGUAGCAAAUGGGAUUAGAUACCCCAGUAGUCCUAGCUGUAAACAAUGGAUACUAGAUGUUGAACAGAUCGACCUGUGCAGUAUUAAAGCUAACGCGUUAAGUAUCCCGCCUGGGAAUAUGCUCGCAAGAGUGAAACCUNAAAUNAUAGAGCGNGAGAGNGCGACGACGACACGAGGAGAGG
rnacentral:rRNA from 1 species